UGGCGAACGGGUGAGUAACACGUGGGCAAUCUGCCCUUCACUCUGGGACAAGCCCUGGAAACGGGGUCUAAUACCGGAUACCACUCCUGCCUGCAUGGGCGGGGGUUGAAAGCUCCGGCGGUGAAGGAUGAGCCCGCGGCCUAUCAGCUUGUUGGUGGGGUAAUGGCCUACCAAGGCGACGACGGGUAGCCGGCCUGAGAGGGCGACCGGCCACACUGGGACUGAGACACGGCCCAGACUCCUACGGGAGGCAGCAGUGGGGAAUAUUGCACAAUGGGCGAAAGCCUGAUGCAGCGACGCCGCGUGAGGGAUGACGGCCUUCGGGUUGUAAACCUCUUUCAGCAGGGAAGAAGCGAAAGUGACGGUACCUGCAGAAGAAGCGCCGGCUAACUACGUGCCAGCAGCCGCGGUAAUACGUAGGGCGCAAGCGUUGUCCGGAAUUAUUGGGCGUAAAGAGCUCGUAGGCGGCUUGUCACGUCGGAUGUGAAAGCCCGAGGCUUAACCUCGGGUCUGCAUUCGAUACGGGCUAGCUAGAGUGUGGUAGGGGAGAUCGGAAUUCCUGGUGUAGCGGUGAAAUGCGCAGAUAUCAGGAGGAACACCGGUGGCGAAGGCGGAUCUCUGGGCCAUUACUGACGCUGAGGAGCGAAAGCGUGGGGAGCGAACAGGAUUAGAUACCCUGGUAGUCCACGCCGUAAACGUUGGGAACUAGGUGUUGGCGACAU
rnacentral:rRNA from 1 species